rnacentral:rRNA from 1 species
AUGAACGCUGGCGGCGUGCUUAACACAUGCAAGUCGAACGGGAUUUAGUAAACAGAAGCCUCGGUGGAAGAUUACUAAUGAGAGUGGCGAACGGGUGAGUAACGCGUGAGCAACCUGCCUAUGACAGUGGGAUAGCCUCGGGAAACCGGGAUUAAUACCGCAUAAAAUCGUAGAAACACAUGUUUCAACGGUCAAAGAUUUAUCGGUCAUAGAUGGGCUCGCGUCUGAUUAGCUAGUUGGUGAGAUAACAGCCACCAAGGCGACGAUCAGUAGCCG